UACGUAGGGGGCAAGCGUUGUCCGGAUUUAUUGGGCGUAAAGAGCGUGUAGGCGGCUUUACAGGUCCGUUGUGAAAACUCGAGGCUCAACCUCGAGACGCCGGUGGAAACCGUAAGGCUAGAGUCCGGAAGAGGAGAGUGGAAUUCCUGGUGUAGCGGUGAAAUGCGCAGAUAUCAGGAAGAACACCCGUGGCGAAGGCGGCUCUCUGGGACAACACUGACGCUGAGGCACGAAAGCGUGGGGAGCAAACAGG
rnacentral:rRNA from 1 species